CACAUGGCGACUGCGCAGUCACACCUAGGUUCACGCUUCGGGCCACGCCGAGAUUGUACCUCUGGUUGCUGCGUAAAGGCGAUCGAACGUUGUAUUUACUAGUACCGGCAGUUUUAAAGUGGAGGUACAUUAAGAACGAAUGUGGAAAGGUUCAAGGGCCUGGAAUCCUGCGGCUAGUACAGUCCUGCUGCGCCCUCUGCCCCAGUGCUGUAUCCAGAAAUUGCGCGUUAACGAUCACGUUCCAAUUGAAUUAGUUGCGCACUAGUCGCUGAACCAAAUGUACUUAAAAUUUAUCGCACUACGUGAAGAAGAUUUCCCCAAUGCGUUUUUACAAUCAUGAAACGUGAUUUCGCCUUCUUUUCUUUGGAAACAUACUCAUCCAGAAAAAUGACUAUUUCCUAAUCACCCACGAUUCCCCCCUAUCCGUUAUUUAAAUUUGAUUAAACAAUUCCGGUGCAUGUAAUUACAAAACAUAUUUCAUAAGUCUCAUUUCGACGUCCACUGGUCUCAAUUCAUCCAAGCAAAGGAACAAACUAUACGUAGUCUUUGUUCCCGAAACAUGUACAAUCAUUCAUGAUAUUUGUUUCAUGGAAAUUUCAUCAACGAACCAUAAAUCACGUUUACUCAUGAUUUCCCUAUAAACGUAAAUUUCGAAUAAUCGAGCCAUUCAAAUUCGAAAGUGUUUAGGAGUAUUUUAGGAGAAAACGUAAUGUUUCACAAUGUCUUUUUAAUUAACAUCGGUCGAGCCGCGUAAUUUAUAUUCCGUAACAUAUGUAAUGUUACACUCCACCGUAUAGACGUUCUAUGUCCUAAAUAAUGUAAAAUCACAUUAACUUUACCCAACCCAAUUGAUAACCCCAUCACCAAUACCAUUUAAAAGCGGUCAUUUGACCAGCCAAUGGUACGUUUACUAUCCGGGGUAUCAAAAUGUUAACCCCGCGGAAUUUAGCACCGCAUUUCCCCCGGGGUAUAAUGGCUGAUUAGAUAAUCAUGAUAUUGGGAUCGAUGGAAAAUAAAAAACACGUGAAAAAGUA